rnacentral:rRNA from 1 species
CCUACGGGUGGCUGCAGUCGAGAAUCAUUCACAAUGGGGGAAACCCUGAUGGUGCGACGCCGCGUGGGGGAAUGAAGGUCUUCGGAUUGUAAACCCCUGUCAUGUGGGAGCAAAUUAAAAAGAUAGUACCACAAGAGGAAGAGACGGCUAACUCUGUGCCAGCAGCCGCGGUAAUACAGAGGUCUCAAGCGUUGUUCGGAAUCACUGGUCGUAAGGCGGGCGUAGGCUGUUUCGUAAGUCGUAUGUGAAAUGCGCGGGCUCAACCCGCGGACGGCACAUGAUACUGCUAGACUAGAGUAAUGGAGGGGGAACCGGAAUUCUCGGUGUAGCAGUGAAAGGCGUAGAUAUCGAGAGGAACACUCGGGGCGAAGGCGGGUUCCUGGACAUUAACUGACGCUGAGGCACGAAGGCCAGGGGAGCGAAAGGGAUUAGAUACCCGGGUAGUC